rnacentral:lncRNA from 1 species
CUAGAUUUUAUAGAAUAUGUAAGAAAAUUAAAUUACAUUGCAAUUACAGGUAAAAACUAAAGUACAUAUCUAUCAACACAGUCAAGUUGUUACUUUGGCAAAAUCAAUAGAAAUUCCAACUACAACACUUUUCACGUGAACUUAAGAUAUACGUUAAAAGUUCUUUUGAAAAAUCAAAAACUUGCAAUAUCUUUGAUGUUCAACCACCACUAGCUAAUUUGCUACUUCACUGGGGUGGCUGGAUCAUUUUAAGAAAUGCUUUAUCUUUGAAUAUUUUUUUAUAGAUGUCAUGUCUUUAUAGUGGCGUUUUGCUUAAAUCAGCACAAACGCACAAUUAAGUAUGCACAAACAUGCAAGUUCGGUCUCUUUUAGACCAUCACAAUAUCAUCAUUGAGUUUGAAUUUUGAUUGCUUAUUUAGUCCCCUCUAUUAAAAUCAUUAGAAAUGGCUGUUAAACAUUUGUUAAAAGAUAUUUUUACCCUUUUUAUAUACGACAGGGACCAUUUCUGUAUUUUACUCUAAAAUAAAUAAUAAAGAAUAAACGAAUUCUAACCAAAAAUACUGGAUUUAUUGAAUAUGAUGGUUGUAUUAGCUUGGCUUCCAUCAUACCAUAUGGUGAUAGCUUCAAUAUAAACAAUGUAAACUCAUUAAAUGAAAUUCCAAAUUUUCCACUCGCCGUGUGUGUAUCCGUUCUUAUAGAUCUCUGACUCUCAAGUAGAGUACACUUAAAUAGAUGUAAAGAGCAUAUCGGGGGGAGCAACUUAGAGACGUUGUUGGCACCAUUUUUCAUAGUGAGUACCAAAAAAGGAUCUGCUUUACCCAUUAGAUAUUAGAUAUGUAGGUGGUAAUCAUCAGCCGAUAUUACUAUCUCCUCUUCUACUUACCGCUAUUCUUUAUUCAUCAAGUAAAUCAUCAUUUUAAUGCCUAAAUCCUAUUUUAUAACUUUUUCCGACAAGUAAACGGGUUAAUAAUUAAACUCAUUUCUGACACCAUCUAGGUGAUAUUACAGCUCUAAGUGCACCCCAUUUGUCUUCAUUGUCUAUGUGGACCUCCAAAUCUUUUAAAAUUUCAACCACACGUCCUCCAAUUUACCAGCGACAAGUUCAGUCAACUUCACUUGACCACAUGCUAAGGAUCGUUAUAUAGGUACCUGGAAUGGUUAAUAGUAAAAAGACAAUAUUAGAAUAUACACCGUAUUGAAAUGUAAUUGAUUCCACCAUGGUCCAUAUAAGAAUUUAACUAACAAAAAUAUCCUUUGUAUGUGUGAGUGAAAGCAAAUAAUCUAGGGAAAUGAAAACUGAAACAAAAAACUUACAAGAAUUUAUCAAUCGGCAAAAUUCACAGAUGAAAACUUAUACACCUACAUAGUCUAACGUUUGUCCUUAUGCUUUAUUAAAGGGAAUUGUGAAGAGCAUGGUUUGAUUGGAAAUUGCAUUCUUUUGAAUGGAACUGUGUAUUCUUCAUAUGUAGGUAAUAUAUACUGUGAUUCAGUCUCUGUUCAUCAUGUAGUUAUUUCCUCUUAUCAUAAUUCAGUUUUUUCAGGUAGAUGGCAGAGAAUCUAAGUAUUUUAUAAGUUUGGCUUCUUAUUUUGUAACCGUAUUUUACUCACAAGACUUGGUAGAUACUCAAAUUAUUAGACUUGGUAUUUCCCUUUAGUAAGAUGGUCUAUAAUUAAGAUAAAUCUAUAAUUUACAAUCAUGUGAUUUAAGCUCUUCCUAAUGACCACACUCCAGGUGCCUUCAAGAACAAUAUUAAAUUUUGAAUAUGGGUAAUUUACUUUAAUUCUAACCUACACUUACAAUAUUUUAACCCACAGACCUAUCCAUUGAUGAUUUAUGUAUUUCGAUUAAUUCCGAACCUAAUGGGCAUCAAUUUAAUAUGAUUGUUAGGAACAUUUUUACUGAACUUGGUUGAUCCCUUGAUAAUAAUCAGAUGUCAUCGGCUCAUUGCAAUCGUUGGCUAUUUAAAAGUACAGUAGUGUGGAGAUAAAAGACUUUUUUUGGAAUAUGUUGGGUGAUUGUGGCAUGUUGAACUUCAUACUUUAAGUAUAUGUUGUUGUAAUGGGUUUUGUUCAGUAAUAAUUAUGCUAUGAAACUAAUAUUGGCUAUAUAAUAGACUCCAAAUGAAAUUGUUAGGUGUGGGUAUGUUAAAAUUGUAAGUAUUAUAUAUUGUAACUUGUAAGUAUCAAUAUAUGAAUGAUUCAUUCAUCUUCUAUAUUCAACACCUUAUGCAGAAAUAAUGGAUGGGUAAACAGGUUAGCCCUCUUAUAUAUCUACCAAUUUGAUAUUACAUGGUUUCAUCGAUUUUAAGGGUUGCAAUUAAAAUUUCAAAUCACAAUAUAUAUACUUUUGAAUAUUUAUUAAAAUGCAAUAAAGUCACUGAAAGAUAAACUUUACCUUCUUCACUAAGUUCAUUUGUAAUUACACACAAAUAUGCACUCUUUUCAUACAUUUCACCCUUCUCUUCUUCAUUUGGUGCAACAAUUGCCUCACGAAGCAUCUGUACAUAGUAAAUAAGAAGACAUCCAAUUAACGAAAUCCAUAUCAAAUUAUCUCAAGAACAGUUAGUUAUAUAGAUUUUAGAGCAAAGAAACUCAUUUGCCAUUUGGGUAGUGAAUCAAACUGAUGGAAAAAUGCAGCCACAACGGUAAACCACAAUGCGGAAUAAUACUUCGUUUGACUAAACUAUUCCCGUCUUGAAUGAACCUUUUAGGAUGCAAACAAAUAGGAUAUUUUUACUUGCAACAAGACAACCCCAAUGCAAGUUAUAUGAUCAAUAUAAUCAACCCAAAACUAUAAGUAAUCAACCAAUAACCACACCAGAAUUUUAGCGUGGAAACCUCUCAAGAAAGGAGAGUAAAACCACGGGACUACUAGAGCCGCUUCAAAUCCACUAUCACCAAUAUUUAAGCAAUACAAAAAAUCUUCUAUAGAUGUACUAGAGGCAUACAAUAAUCAUCAUAUACUUGGAACUAAAUCACAUCAAGCAUAUGUAAUCAAAUAAGCAAAGACAAAGAAGAAUAUCACCAAAAACGUUCUUGAUUUCCAGCAGCAAACAGAGGUGACGAUUCCCGAGUCUCUGGAGCUGAUCUCGGAAAUUCAACCGUUGGAUCUGAAGGACUAGGUGUUAGGAAGCGGCUGUCCAAAAAUCAAAGGAAACGGACCGUUGGAUCUCCGGGAAAUUACCAAACAUUCCAGGUGUAUCUUCAAAAACGGGAAUUAAGAAAAAACCCUCUUUUGCUUCUUCCUUUCUCUUGCUCUCUUGGUGGCUGAAAACCUUUUUGUGUGUUAGUGAAAUUAGGGCAUGUCCCACAUAUAUAUAUACAUGGGCCAAAAAAAGUGGGCUUUCCUCAUGGGCUAAAAAACCCAAUAGAAAACCCAACAAAUCUCCCCCUUUUUCGCCUAUGAGGAAGAGUUCGCCAUCCCGACGAUCGAGCAACAUAUCUUUAACUUCUCCCUUGCUAAAGCUUUAGUCAACAUAUCGGAACCAUUAUCAUCAGUAUGAACUUUUUCAAGUUCAAACAAUUUGUCUUAAAGUGCGUCUCUAAUCCAAUGAUACCUCACAUCGAUAUGCUUUGUUCUUUUGUGAAACAUAGAAUUCUUAGCAAGGUGAAUGACACUUUGAUUAUCACAAAGAACCAUGUAGCGUUUUUGCAUAAAUUCAAGCUCUUGCAUAAAUCUUUUCAGCCACAAUAACUCUUUUCAUGCUUCUGUUGUUGCCAUAUACUCAGCCUCAGUGGUGGACAAGGCAACACACUUUUGCAGUCGUGACUGCCAUGACACAGCUCCCCCUGCAAAAGUCAUAAAAUAUCCAUAAGUAGAUUUCAUGUUGUCCUUGUUUCCUGCCAUAUCAAAAUAUGUAUAACCAACAAGCAUAGGUGCUCCAUUUCCAAAUGUUAUACCCAAUUUGGAAGUACCACGUAGAUAUAUGAAAAUCCACUUAACUGAUUCCCAAUGCUUCUUUCCCGGAUUUGACAGAAACCGACUAACAACACCAACUGCAUGGGCAAUAUCUAGCCUUGUACACACCAUGGCAUACAUCAAACUCCCAACGGAUGAUGCAUAUGGAACUCUAUCCAUCUCUUCAAUCUCCUUCUUAGUAGAAGGGCAAUCUCUAUCAGUCAGCUUAAAGUUGGUAGUUAGGGGCGAACUAACCACUUUAGCUUUAUCCUUGUUGAAUCUGCAAAGCACCUUCUCAAUGUAUUGCUCUUGUGACAUAUGCAACUUCUUUGAAGCUCUAUCUCUAGUAAUCCGAAUGCCAAGAAUCUGUUUUGUCGGCCCCAAGUCUUUCAUAGCAAAAGACUUGCUCAAUUGUUUCUUUAGCUGAACAAUUCUCUCUGCAUUCUUGCCAACAAUCAACAUAUCAUCAACAUAAAGCAACAAAAUGAUGAAAUCAUCAUCACCAAACCUCUGGAAGAAAACACAGUGAUCUGAAGUAGUUUUGCGGUAGCCUUGCUCACCCAUGACUGACUCAAAUUUCUUAUACCACUGUCUUGGUGCUUGCUUCAACCCAUAAAGACUUUUAUGAAGCCUACACAUAUAGUCUUCUUUGCCCUUAACCUGAAAACCUUCAGGUUGCUCCAUAUAAAUUUCCUUGUCCAAGUCACCGUGAAGGAAAGCUGUCUUGACAUCCAUUUCCUCAACCUCAAGAUCAAGGCUAGCAGCCAAACCAAGAAUCACCCGAAUGGAACCCAUCUUCACGACCGGAGAGAAAAUCUCAUCAAAAUCAACACCCUUUCUUUGACUGAACCCUUUGACCACCAAUCUAGCCUUGUACCUAGGCCGUGAGGUAUGCUCUUCAGUCUUCACUUUGUAGACCCACUUGUUCUUCAAAGCUCUCUUGCCUUUAGGCAACUUCACCAACUCAAAGGUAUUGUUUUCAUGCAAGGAAUUCAUCUCAUCUUGCAUAGCUUCAACCCACUCUCUUUUAUGCUCAUCUUCCAUAGCUUCUGCAUAACAAUCAGGUUCUCCCCCAUCAGUGACUAAAAUAUACUCAUCAGCAGAAUAACGGGUGGAAGGAUGACGAUCUCUCGUAGACCGCCUAAGUGGGACAAAUGGUGGUAUAUCAGGUACUGGUAACUCUGGAUGAAAAUCCUCAUCCAAACCCGACUGCUCUGGAACAUCAUUGUCAUCAAUACCAUGUUGUUCAUCAUUCUGAAUAUCUUCAUUAAUUGGCUCAAAAUGUUGAGGGGGAACAAGAUCCAAAUCAACACGAUCAUCAAUAUAUUGAGGAACUAUCUUUGUCUUCUCAAUAUCUUUUAAACUCUGAUCUUCAACAAAUACAACAUCACGACUCCUUACGAGUUUCUUCAGAACUGGAUCAUAUAACAUGUAACUGAAUUCAUCUUGGCCAUAACCAAGGAAUAUACACGGCUUGGUCUUCACUUCAAGCUUUGAUCUUUCAUCUUUGGGAAUAUGCACAAAAGCCUUGCAUCCAAAGACCCGUAAAUGACGAUACGAAACAUCUUUUCCACUCCAAACCCUGUCAGGAACAUCAAAAGACAAAGGAACACAGGGAGUAAGAUUAAUAACAUGUACCGCUGUAUUCAAAGCUUCUCCUCAAAAAGAAUCUUUCACCCAAAGUUCUAUUCAUCCGUUCUGCUAAACCGUUCAACUGUGGUGUCUUUGGAGGAGUCUUUUGGUGCCGAAUACCUUGCGCUCUACAAUAAGCAUCAAAAGGACCAAUGUAUUCACCGCCAUUAUCUGUCCGAACACACUUCAAUUUCUUCCCAGUUUGUCUCUCAACCAAGGCAUGAAACUUCUUAAACACAUCUAAUACUUGAUCUUUAGUCUUCAAAGUAUCAACCCAUACCUUCCUUGAAUAGUCAUCGAUGAAUGUGACAAAAUACAAGCAACCCCCAAGUGUCCUAGUCUUCAUGGGACCACAUACAUCGGAAUGUACCAGAUCAAGUAUAUUCUCCUUCCUGGAAGGAGGAUGACUCUUAAAGGAAACUCUAUUUUGCUUACCUGCCAGACAAUGAGAACAUCUCUUCAAAUUCACAUCAUGCACACCGGUUAACACAUUUCUCUUCAAAAACAAAGACAUCGCCUUUUCACUCAUGUGACCAAGUCUCUUAUGCCACAAAUCGGUCAUGUCACAAUGUAUCGAUGCAUGGAUCGAUUCUUUGGAGAUCUUCGGAUGUGUCAUGUAUAACUUGGAGCUUCUUUCACCUCUUGCCACAAUCAAAGAAUCACGGGUGAGUUUCCAAAUGCCACCACCAAAGGUACUAUGGUAACCAUCAUCAUCAAGUAAGCCAGCAGAGAUCAAACUAAGUCUAAUAUCUGGAACAUGUUUUACAUUGUGUAAAACCAACUCCAUCCCAGUCUCAAACUUCAAACAAAUAUCUCCGACUCCAACAAUCUUUGAUAACCCAUUAUUACCCAUCUUAACAUUCCCAAAAUCACCAGGAGUGUAAGAUGUGUAAAACUCCCUUUGUGAUGUCACAUGACAAGUAGCACCACUUUCAACAACCCAACUCGAAUCAUCAUGUGCAAGAUUGACCAUAUCAUAAUCACAACAAAUAAAGAACUCUUCAGUAGCAGUGUUAACUUCAGCAGUAUCAUUACCACCAUCAUCUUUCUUGUGGUUGUUCUUUUGAUUAUUGUAAUUUACCUUCUUGUUCUCCCUUUUCAAUUGUCCGCAGAAUCAUAUUGUGUGCCCUUUUCUACCACAAUGAUUGCACUCAUAGUCAGCAAACUUUCCUUUAGAUUUACUGCGAUGCUUCCCUUUGUUAUUCGGACCUCUACUUUGACUUCUCCCCCUGCUUUCUGUGACCAAGAUAUCUGAAUGUGAAGAGGAACCUUGUGACUUUCUUCUCAUCUCUUCAUUUAAAACACCGCCUUUAGCCAAUUCCAUGGUGAUAAUACCAUCUGGUGCAGAGUUGGACAAGGAUGUCCUAAAAAUUUCCCAAGAAUCUAGUAAAGUGCCAAGGAGCCAUAAACCUUGUAACUCAUCUUUAAACUUGAUACCCAUUCCUGCAAGCUGAUUAAUAAUUCCCUGGAAAGAAUUCAAAUGAUCACUAAUAGGAUUUCCGUCAUGGUACUUCAAGUCAAUCAACUGUUUAAUCAGGAACAAUUUAUUGUUCCCGGUCUUCCGAGCAUACAACUGCUCAAGCUUGUUCCACAAAGUAUGAGAAUGAGUUUCCGCGCUAAUAUGGAUCAAAACAUUAUCAUCAACCCAUUGUCGAAUAUACCCACAAACUUUUUUAUGCAAAAUAUUCCACUCUGCAUCUGUUUUAUCAUCGGGUUUUUCAGUAUUAAACACAUGCAUGUAAUAAUCCUUCACAUAAAUAAGGUCUUCCAUCUUGCCUCUCCAAACAUGAUAAUUAGAACCAUUCAAAUUUACAAUCCUAUUUGUAUUAGCUUCCAUUGUUCAAACAAGUAACCUAGUAACAAGAACCACACUCUGAUACCAAUCAGAUGGAAAAAAUGCAGCCACAACGGUAAACAACAAUGCGGAAUAAUACUUCGUUUGACUAAACUAUUCCCGUCUUGAAUGAACCUUUUAGGAUGCAAACAAAUAGGAUAUUUUUACUUGUAACAAGACAAACCCAAUGCAAGCUAUAUGAUCAAUAUAAUCAACCCAAAAAUAUAAGUAAUCAACCAAUAACGACACCGGAAUUUUAGCGUGGAAACCUCUCAAGAAAGGAGAGUAAAACCACGGGACUACUAGAGCCGCUUCAAAUCCACUAUCACCAAUAUUUGAGCAAUACAAAAAAUCUUCUCUAGAUGUACUAGAGGCAUACAAUAAUCAUCAUAUACUUGAAACUAAAUCAGAUCAAGCAUAUGGAAUCAAAUAAGCAAAGACAAAGAAGAAUAUCACCAAAAACGUUCUUGAUUUCCAGCAGCAAACAGAGGCGAUGAUUCCCGAGUCUCUGGAGCUGAUCUCGGAAAUUCAACCGUUGGAUCUGAAGGCCUAGGUGUUAGGAAGUUUCUGUCCAAAAAUCAAAGGAAAUGGACCGUUGGAUCUCCGGGAAAUUACCAAACACUGCAGGUGUAUCUUCAAAAACGGGAAUUAAGAAAAAACCCUCUUUUGCUUCUUCCUCUCUCUUGCUCUCUUGGUGGCUGAAAACCUUUUUGUGUGUUAGUGAAAUUAGGGCAUUUCCCACAUAUAUAUACAUGGGCUAAAAAAAGUGGGCUUUCCUCAUGUGCUAAAAAACCCAAUAGAAAAC